rnacentral:rRNA from 1 species
CCUACGGGUGGCAGCAGUGAGGAAUAUUGGUCAAUGGGCGCUAGCCUGAACCAGCCAAGUAGCGUGUCUGAUGACUGCCCUAUGGGUUUUAAACUCCUUUUAUAUGGGAAUAAAGUGCAUUAUGUAUACUGCUUGGCAUUUACCUUAUGAAUACGGUUCGGCUAACUCCGUGCCAGCAGCCGCGCUAAGAUGGAGGAUCGGAGCGUUACCCGGAUUGAUUUGGUUUAAAGGGAGCGUAGGCGGGUUGUUAAGUCAGUUGUGAAAGUUUGCGGCUCAACCGUGAAAUUGCAGUUGGUACUGGCAUCCUUGAGUACAGCAGAGGUAGGCGGAAUUCGUCGUGUAGCAGUGAAAUGCUUAGAUAUCACGAAGAACUCCGAUUGCGAAGGCAGCCUGCUGGACUGUAACUGACGCUGAUGCUCGAAAGUGUGGGUAGCAAACAGGAUUAGAUACCCCGGUAGUC